UCUGAUGGCCCAGCAGUGAGGAUAUGGAGGUCUGAGGGCCCAGCAGUGAGGAUAUGGAGGUCUGAUGGCCCAGCAGUGAGGAUAUGGAGGUCUGAUGGCCCAGCAGUGAGGAUAUGGAGGUCUGAUGGCCCAGCAGUGAGGAUAUGGAGGUCUGAUGGCCCAGCAGUGAGGAUAUGGAGGUCUGAUGGCCCAGCAGUGAGGAUAUGGAGGUCUGAUGGCCCAGCAGUGAGGAUAUGGAGGUCUGAGGGCCCAGCAGUGAGGAUAUGGAGGUCUGAGGGCCCAGCAGUGAGGAUAUGGAGGUCUGAUGGCCCAGCAGUGAGGAUAU